rnacentral:tRNA from 1 species
UCCCUGGUGGCUCAAACAGUAAAGAAUCUGCCUGCAGUGCAGGAAACCCGGGUUCGAUCCCUGGCUUGGGAA